rnacentral:ncRNA from 1 species
GUACCGAAAAGGCAAACCCAUCGAAAGGUGGGGACGCAAAGCCGCGGGUCUAAAGCUCCGAUGGAAUUGGAGUCAGGAUAGCUGGGCUGCCGAA